rnacentral:rRNA from 1 species
AACCCUGCCUCAGUUGCCAGCAUCGGUUGGGCACUCUAGAGGGACUGCCGGCGACAAGUCGGAGGAAGGUGGGGAUGACGUCAAAUCAUCAUGCCCCUUAUGACCUGGGCUACACACGUGCUACAAUGGGCGGUACAAAGGGCUGCGAACCCGCGAGGGGGAGCGAAUCCCAAAAAGCCGCUCUCAGUUCGGAUUGCAGGCUGCAACUCGCCUGCAUGAAGCCGGAAUCGCUAGUAAUCGCGGAUCAGCAUGCCGCGGUGAAUACGUUCCCGGGCCUU